GUAUAAUAGGUUCUAGGUUCAUGUGUCUGACUCUUUUGUGACCUCAUGGACUGUUGCCCACCAGGCUCCUCUGUCUACGGGACUUCCCAGUAUGUUUUGUAAUAUUUUUGAUGGAAAUGAUCUACUGGGUAAAAACUGUAAGUAGGCCCUUCCAGGGUAAUGCGGUGGUGAGGUGUGGGGGCAGUGGGAGCAUUUUAUAGCACUUGGAGGUCUCAGUCUUUGAGUGAGGCUUCUCAUUUUCCAACUCUUUCCCUUUCAAUGAGAUAGGAUGCCUGGAGGCAGCUGGGGUUGCAAAUUUCCUCCGCCAUUCCCCAGGUCAAUUAAGCUAAACCCCAGCUAUUUAGCUUUCAGUUAAAUGGUUUCUCCUGUGCACAGACCUUGUUAAGGAAUGCUCUGGUGGGUGUUUUUCAAAAUGGAGUCUUUUCCCUUUCUUCUGCCAGAAGCACAAGGUGAUUUUUCUCCUAUAUUCACUGUGAGAACCUGGUGGAACUCUUGGAGGUAAAAUUCACGAAAGUGCAGUGUCCUUCUAGUGACUGGGUCCCUGUCUGGUUUUUAUCUCUCAGGGGGGUCCAUGCUAAGCCUCCAGCAGUUCAUCAGCUACAGUUCCAAUUUCCCUGUCUGAUUCCUGCAGAGCUUCUGCUCCUGUUUUCCCAGCACCAUUUCUGAAAGAGACUGCUGCUGCUAAGUCACUUCAGUCGUGUCCGACUCUGUGCGACCCCAUAGACGGCAGCCCACCAGGAUCCCCCGUCCCUGGGAUUCUCCAGGCAAGAACACUGGAGUGGGUUGCCAUUUCCUUCUCCAAUGCAUGAAAGUGAAAAGUGAAAGUGAAGUUGCUCAGUCGUGUCCGACCCUCAGCGACACCAUGGACUGCAGCUUUCCAGGCUCCUCCGUCCAUGGGAUUUUCCAGGCAAGAGUACUGGAGUGAAAGAGACUACUAUAAUAUUAUAAAUCUAUUAUAUUGCCUUUGCUCCUUUGUCAAGGACCAGUUGACUGUACUUACAUGGGUGUGUUUCUGAUUUUUCUAUUCCCUUGGCCUAUUUUUUUUUGCCAAUACCACACUUUUUUUUUUAUUACUGUAACUUCUUGAAAUGCAAGUAUAAUGGAUACUGGAGUUUUGACAUCUCUCUGGGAUUAUGAAUUAAGUUUUAAGAUGCAAGCCAUAUUGAUAGAGCAAAAAGAAGAUCUUAUGAAAGAUGCUUAAAUAUACAUUCUCUCAGUACUUCCUAAACUUCAUUCAUUGCCUACUAGCAAAAUUUUUGCACCAGAACUAUCAUGGUGCUAUUUUUCUAUUUUAAAAAAACAAAUAGAGCAAAACAAAAUUCAACAAUGUGUAUGGAAACUGGGUAUAUGAAAAUCUUCACUAAUGGCACACAUCAUGUUUAUUCUUCACAUCUGAAGUUAUUCUAAAUGUUUCAUUUUUUAAGGUUUGAGUUAUUCAUAGGCAUAUCCAAAUUCUAUGCCUGCAAUUUGUGCUAUCUAAACUAGAUUCCCAUAGGUCCACCCACUUUAGCUCCAACUAACAUAAUAAUAACUAGCAUGUUUUACAUGUAAAACUGGCACUAUAUAUAUAUAUACAUACAUAUAUAUAUAUAUACACACUAUGAAUAAAACAGUUGAAAAUAUUCUCACAAAGUUAUCUCAAGUGUACAUAAGGUAACUAAAAAUUUCAAUCUACCUAGGUCUGGGGGAUUUCUAGGACAUAGAACUUUUGAUGCUAAAAUUGGAAUAGUUUCAGACAAACCAGGAUUGUUGGUCACACUACAAGUCUAUAAUAUAUUUAGGGAAACAUGGCAUUAUCUCAUAUAAUAUUCUAUCAGCUACCUAGUUAGAUAUAAUUAUCCCUCUUCUAAAGAUGAGAAUCCAGGUACAAUGUGUAUGUGGUAAUAUGGCCACUAUUAAAUACUGAUAUCUAGGUCUGGCUGGCUUUAAAAUAGCUGAGAAUAAACCAAUUCUCACUUAAUAUCUUACAGGAAAAUCAAUUUUGACAAUGUGUGUUACUCAAACUCUAGCAAGAAACUGUGGGGCUGUCCAGUCCCACCUUAGAUUCCUCUUAAAGGGUUUAGAACACCACAGAGAGCCUUGCGUGAGUUCAGGGACAUAGUCUUCUGGCCCACCAUAAGGAUGCCACCCUGUCUUCCCCCUUGCCCUGUGUUCCUUGUCCGUGUUGUCACUGUCGGCCACCUCACUUCGGCCCCCUUCUACUCUAGCCCUAUUCAAGUGGCCCUCUCUCAACUGCUGAGUGUUUUCAUCUUGCAGAUAUUUUAGUAAGAUAUGAUUUUAUUGUAAAACCUUCCCUAGCUGGGUUCUUUGUAGGAAAAUUUGGGAAGAUCAGAGCUAGAUGGUAAAAUAAACAGAAAUAUUCAUCUUGCUAUGGACUAAAUAUUUGUGUUUCCCCAAAUUCAAGUGUUGAAACAUAAAACCCAAUGUAUUGCUUUUAGGAGAUGGGGCCUUUGGGAGGCACUUUAGGUCAUGAGGGUGGAGCCUUCAUAAAAGAGAUGAAUGCCUUUAUGAAAGAGACCCUCAGAGAAAGCCUUGCCCCUUAUGCCAUGUGAGGUUAUAGUGAGAAGGCACCAUCUAUAAACCAGUAAGUGGGCUCUCACCAGACAGUGAAUCUGCUUGAGACUUGAUCUUGAGCUUCCCAACUUCUAGAACUGGGAGAUGUAAAUUUCUGUUGUUAAUAAGCCACCUAGUCUAUGGUAUUUGUUACAGCAGCCCAAACAAACCAAGACAACUUAAAUAUUUUCAGAAUAUUUCUUCCUCUUCUCAUUUUUCUUGAACGAGUAUCCUUUCAACUUUCUUGCCUAAAAUGAAGUCUGCCUUUCCUUCCAAGAUCUUUUUUCAUAUGCACAGACAUAUGGCAGAUCUGUUUCACUGGCUUUCCAGAUUUUGCCAGAUAAUGUGCUUUAGAUAACUUGAAAUGCUGCUGGUCCAAAUUGAGAUGUACUGGAAAUGUAAAAUACACAUAGGAUUUUUAAGAUUUAGUGUGAAAAAAAGUAAACUAAAAUAUUUCAUAUUGAUUAUGUGAUGAAAUUAUAAUCUUUUGUAUACUUUAGAUUAAAUUAAAAUAUAUCAAGUUUUCAUUUGUUUUUAUUUUUUUUUUAAUGUGGCUACAAGAUGUGUAAAAUGAAAUGCUCACAUUUCUGUUGGAUAAUUAACUCUACAGUAUCAUGAUGGCCUCACAUAGCUGGGAUUAAAGAAUAUGUUUAUCAGGA
ensembl:lncRNA